rnacentral:tRNA from 1 species
GCUGAGGUGGCAGAGCGGUCAAAUGCACGAGUCUGUAAAACUCGCGCCUCACGGCUACCCAGGUUCGAAUCCUGGCCUCAGCA